AAAACUUUACAUAAAAAUGAAAAUCAUUCUUAUAUUGUAAAAGUCAGUUUUUCUACUUAUGCAUUACAUUUGGAUGGUUUGUUCAGUGUCUAAAAUAAUGUCAAAACAUACCUAAAUUAUUUUAAAAGGCUUAAAUUGUAUGAAGCAGUGUGACAUGAAUGCAUAAAUUAGAUAUUAGAGAUCUAAUACUUUUAUUUAUUCAAACUGCAUUCUUGUUUUAAUCAUUUCUAAUUAUCCAAUUUUUUUUAUGUUUCAUUUACUUUAUAUGAAUGAUGCUUGAUAAAAAUUUCUAAGAAACAAUAUUUUUUUUAAUUAAUUUUUUUGAUUGAAAUGUAAAGUUAAUGUGUAAAGUGUAAGUUAAAAACCUUUUUAAAUAAACUUCAUAGCUUAUUAUAAAGAUUGUAUCAAUGCUAAGAACAAGUUUAUGUAUAUUAUAAAUAAUUUAGUCUACUAAUUUUAUUGUAAUAUUAUAUGUGUUUAUGAAAAUAAUAUACUAAAAAAGUAAAAAUUAUUUUUUACCUAAGGUCAGAUGGUAUUGGAACUGUGACUGUUGAAAAGUGAUAUUUUUGCCAAUAUUGAGGUACAAUUACGAAUACUUCUUGAAAACCGAAUUACUCAUUUUAGGAGAGGAAGGAGCACUUAUUGGUGCAGGUGCAUCUGUUGCUGGUAUUGGAUCAGAUAUUGGAGGCAGCAUCAGAAUUCCAGCGUUCUUCAAUGGAGUGUUUGGCCAUAAACCUACGCCCAAUUUGUUAGAAGUUAUAUCGAAUUAUGGAACCUAUCCUCCGUCUGGUGAGAGAGAAUUCGUUCCAUAUUUAAGUAUGGGCCCCUUGUGUCGUUAUGCAACCGACCUCAUUCCAUUGAUGAAAGUUCUCACUGGAAAAAGUGCACCUCUUUUGAACCUAGACAAACCUGUAAGUACUUUUUUUUACUGUUAAUUUGCUUUAUUGCUUAUGAAUGAAAUCUCCGAUUACUUUUCAACUAUUUAAAACCCUUACGGAGAUCUGUUUAGAAGAAAUUUAGGUUCGUUAACAGACCCUUCACAAAAUAUCUUUUCAUAAGAACGGACCCUUUACAAAU